UUAAUAAAGUAAUAAGUAUCUUAACUUGGGGAAAAGAGCUGAAAGAAAAAUGCAAUGUAUAUGCUGGAUGUUAAAAACGUAGGCUAGUAACGAGGCGGCAGCUUGUCAGUACAAGGAACGAGUAGUGUUCGUCCAGUAGGUUGCUGGCCGUCAAAGCACGUACGGGAUUUUUUCCACGGAAUUGUUCUUCUCAUGCACAGGUAUAAUUUGGAGAACUGUUAUGUUGACAUUGUUUUUAAUCGUAGUGUAAUCUAGCUGUUGCCUACGUAUUAAAGGUGUGGCAAAGGAACGCUUGUUUUAAUAUUAUAACGGGUAUACUAUCAGAAAUGCCAGGGGUAGCAUGUGUUUCAAAAAAUGUUGACAGAUCUGCCACGUAUAUCCAUUCGGUGGGAACAGAUCAAUAUUACAAUACAGGGUUCUGAGCGACGAGGUGUUUUGUUCAGUGUGGAUAUUUUGAAAUAUGUAGAAAAAUAUUUAAUGCACUCUCUAUUUGUUAUUUUUUUGUAUACACAAACCUGCGAGCGUAAAGGCAAUGAUCGUGGAACGGCUAUUGGUCAUUUAGAUGCGAUGGAGAGCCAUGACCAGAAACAGAUUUUGGAGCUGAAGAGUGGACAGGCCAAAUUGUGCGGUGUCUAGAGAGGAAUAACACAGAUUAAUGGUGACGUGAUGCGAUCAUAUUACAGUCACGGUGUGAUUUCCAUUUCAGAUCAAAAGAGAGAAAACUUAAUCUGCCGAACGAUCCUAGCAGCAAUUGUUACUUUCAACGCAAACUUCUGUCAACAUCCCUAGAUUUCGGCUAAGGCCCGCGUGAGAACUGUAGGAUUGAAAACUGAUUCUCUCGUUCUUUAGUUUCCUUGUCUGUCAUUCACAAGUUUUCUUAGGCGCGAGAUCACCACACAGAUUACUCAGAUCUGAACGUAACAAAGACCGAACUAAUAGCGAUAUGACUAAUUCGCGUGUACACGUUUGAGGAAAGUAUCGCACUCUGACUUGUCACGUGUAGACAGCCCAGAUGUGUGCCAGCAGUACCCCUGUUCUUGCACUGUGCUUUUGGUAGGUGGGACCAAAACACGCCCUUACUCCUCAGUUGCUAUGCACAAGCAGUUAUGCGUUCGUUAGUUCAUACGGAGUCACGUAACACUUUCCCAAGGGAUUCAUAAUUGCCCUCAGAAUGUGCACCAGCAGUCGUGUGCGGCACAUCUGUCAAAUUGGUUUGGGAGGGGGAGGAGAAAACGCUGCAUUUCCCCCAGGACUCUGGCAGAGUUUCCUGCUAUUUCGCCAGUCCUGGGAAGGCUUCAGAACCACGGACAGCGGCAGCCUAGGCUACAGACAAGCACAGCGGCGGUAACGUAAUUGGGUCUUGCAGACAGGAGAGGAUGUAAAUGACACCAAUAGUUUAUUAUGGAUUUCACAAUUCACUUCCACUCUUCCACUUCCACAAGGCCUGUGUCACAUAUCGUACGAGAGCUGGAAGAACAAUCUCCACUUAAGAUUAUCACACAUUAAAAUGAGGACAAUGAGGGUGCCAAUGAUGAUGAUGACGACAAUGGUGAUGAUGACAAUGAUGAUGAUGAUGAUGGCGACAAUGGAAA